UUCUUGAGAGUGGCGCACGGGUGCGUAACACGUAUGUAACCUACCUUAAUCAGGGGGAUAGCCCCUCGAAAGAGAGAUUAAGACCGCAUAACAUUGCACUACGGCAUCAUAGAACAAUCAAAUAUUUAUAGGAUUAAGAUGGGCAUGCGGAACAUUAGCUAGUUGGUAAGGUAAUGGCUUACCAAGGCUACGAUGUUUAGGGGAUCUGAGAGGAUGACCCCCCACACUGGUACUGAGACACGGACCAGACUCCUACGGGAGGCAGCAGUA
rnacentral:rRNA from 1 species